GGUUCCUUGGAUCGUACAUACUACAUGGAUAACUGUAGUAAUUCUAGAGCUAAUACAUGCCACUAUGCCCUGACCCGCAAGGGAACGGGUGGAUUUAUUAGAACAGAACCAACCGGCGGUGACUUCGGUUGCUGUCGUUGCAUUCUGUGAUGACUCUGGAUAACUUUACUGAUCGCAGUCGGCCUUGUGUCGGCGACGGAUCUUUCAAAUGUCUGCCCUAUCAAUUUUCGAUGGUAGGUGACCUGCCUACCAUGGUGAUAACGGGUAACGGGGAAUCAGGGUUCGAUUCCGGAGAGGGAGCCUGAGAAACGGCUACCACUUCCAAGGAAGGCAGCAGGCGCGCAAAUUACCCAAUCCCGGCACGGGGAGGUAGUGACGAAAAAUACGGAUACGGGACUCAUUAGAGGCUCCGUAAUUCGAAUGAGUACAAUUUAAAUCCUUUAACGAGGAUCAACUGGAGGGCAAGUCUGGUGCCAGCAGCCGCGGUAACUCCAGCUCCAGAAGCGUAUAUUAAAGUUGUUGCAGUUAAAAAGCUCGUAGUUGGAUCUGGGUCGCAUGGCUACAUGCCGUUGCUCGUAUUCCUGGCCUGGUUCACACCGGGACGGGUUUGUGAGUCGGUGUCGUGGUUGUGCAGCCUUUCUGCCGUGUCUGUUUCGACAGGUGUUAGCAUGAUUGGUGGGUUCGUCCUGCUGAUCUGUUGACAUGCUUCCAGGUGCCCUUAACCGGG
rnacentral:rRNA from 2 species